AGACAGCAGGAGGGGCUUGCCAGUGCACCUCACAAGAGCUCGCUGCUCUGCGUCAGUGCUGCCAAGGAGCUCCUUCAGGGUUGAGAGAUGAGAGAGCCAAGUCCGUGAUUACUAGAUCUGAGAGUCCGGAGCUGGCUCUCCUUUACCAGAGUCAGAUCAUGGUCAUCAGACACGUCCCAUUCUCACUCAACCCAGGGGCAACAGAGUGCUGACCACAAAGCACGUGCUUAAUGAGUGAUGAGUGACCCAAAAAACAAAUCAGAAGAUGGGCAAAAAUUCAUCAUCUAAGGGACUAGAAGAAAUGGGAUAUCCUGUGAGGUUCAGAAAAGCCCAGCAAGGGUCAGGGGACACCACUGCAGAAGAAUCAUUGUCAAAUCAUCGCAUAGGAAAACCCAGCAGCCUCAGAGGGGCUCCUGCAGGCCAAGCUCAUGUACAGUGGGCCUGUGCUCUUCCUUAGCAGAAGGGCGUGGCCAGCCCUUGCCCACUGUCCUUACGGCGGGCUUCAACCUGGGCUCAACCUGCACUCUCUUCCCAUCUGCAGCCCUGGAGGGAAUCGACUGCCAGUUUAAGGAGUCAUUGUCCAGUUCAGACUCCAGAAUACGAAACGUAGAAACUGACAGGAAAUGACCAAGUAUAAAUUGCAACUUGUAAAGAAUCAUCUUAAAUCCUGGCACUGCGUUCAAGGGGGAGUUUGAGCAAGGAAUGUUGCUAAAACGGCUAAAACCAGGAACUCAGAAUAUCGUUCUACAAUAGAACCUAAAAACUGUUUCCAACCCAUCACGACAUCACCCUGAAAAAUGAGUGAGCAGUCACUGAGGCUUCCCAAGUUUGAAAAUUCCACAAGACUGAGAGCAAAUGUUUUGUUGAAACUGAAGUCAAGAUGAAGUCAGCUGACUCUCAAACCUCAGGUGAAGUGACUCAGGGCCCACACCCCGGUUCUGAGGCAGGGACACAUUUUACUUGCAGCACCCUGCAGCUUUGGAUGAGGCUGCAACCCGGGUGAAUCCUGGCCCUGCUAUCACGUGGGCAGCCACUGCAUCCUCCGGAGGCUGUGGAUGGGAGUCACCAUGCUGGGAGGUCUGGAGUAAGAUCUGUGCCAUCUGCCUUGCCCAAUCCUGUACCAGUGCCUGUGUUUCAAAAUCUCAAAAUAAAAGUGAUUAUUCUUGCAACACAUCUAGGUGUACUAAACGAAUACAAAAAA
ensembl:lncRNA LINC00424 long intergenic non-protein coding RNA 424